CCCUUAGAUGUUCUGGGCUGCACGCGCGCUACACUGAUGCACUCAACGAGUUUACGACCAUGCCCGAUAGGGUUGGGUAAUCUUUUUAAAAUGCAUCGUGAUGGGGAUAGAUUAUUGCAAUUAUUAAUCUUCAACGAGGAAUUCCUAGUAAGCGCGAGUCAUCAGCUCGUGCUGAUUACGUCCCUGCCCUUUGUACACACCGCCCGUCGCUCCUACCGAUUGAGUGCUCAGGUGAAUAAUUCGGACUGCAGCAAUGUUUGGAUCCCGAACGUUGCAGCGGAAAGUUUAGUGAACCUUAUCACUUAGAGGAAGGAGAAGUCGUAACA
rnacentral:rRNA from 1 species